AGCUAUUUAGUUUAUUUAAAAUAUUUAUUUGUGGUAUAAAGGAAUUAAUGGCUU
rnacentral:tRNA from 1 species